GAUGAACGCUGGCGGCGUGCCUAAUAAAUGCAAGUCGAGCGAACGGACGAGAAGCUUGCUUCUCUGAUGUUAGCGGCGGACGGGUGAGUAACACGUGGAUAACCUACCUAUAAGACUGGGAUAACUUCGGGAAACCGGAGCUAAUACCGGAUAAUAUUUUGAACCGCAUGGUUCAACAGUGAAAGACGGUCUUGCUGUCACUUAUAGAUGGAUCCGCGCUGCAUUAGCUAGUUGGUAAGGUGACGGCUUACCAAGGCAACGAUGCAUAGCCGACCUGAGAGGGUGAUCGGCCACACUGGAACUGAGACACGGUCCAGACUCCUACGGGAGGCAGCAGUAGGGAAUCUUCCGCAAUGGGCGAAAGCCUGACGGAGCAACGCCGCGUGAGUGAUGAAGGUCUUCGGAUCGUAAAACUCUGUUAUUAGGGAAGAACAUAUGUGUAAGUAACUGUGCACGUCUUGACGGUACCUAAUCAGAAAGCCACGGCUAACUACGUG
rnacentral:rRNA from 1 species